rnacentral:lncRNA from 1 species
GAAGAUGGUGCAAGACAAGGAGGACUGCGUGCUUAUGGGGUGAGUGCUGCAAAGGACUGCAUCAGGGAGCUGAUGCCUUGAGUAGCAGGAGAAGAUCGGUUAAGCAAGCACGUGUGCACCCGCAUGUGUCGGUUUGCCCCCCCGCUGUGCCAUUUUCCGCCUUCUGUGACUCAUUUCCGCAGACCGCACAUCUGUGGCCUCCCUGGUGUGUUGGCGCGAACUUCGUUCCAUCUGCCUGCGCUGCUCCUAAACCCCGUAAUGUCUAUCGUUCCUAAUCUGUUGCCCGUUCGUCACAGGGACCUGUCAUGGCGCGCAAGCUGAACGAGUGCCUGGAGCGGCGGUCUUCAGCCCCCGGUGGUCAGCUCUGCGCCAUGCGCCCACUUACGACUGCCAUGUGUGUAGAGCAGCUGCUCUGAGCAUCACAUAGGCAGGAGUGCCAAGCUAAGCCUGCCUGCCUAAGCCAGACCGUGCAGCUGUGUGUGGAUUUGGCGAUCUAGCUCUUAGGACUUUACAUUGUCAAGCAACAUUAAAAAACAGGGACAUAUGUUGCAGGAUUGCGCACGUCGCAGCUCUGUUGUUAGCUAUUGCUCAUAUUGGCGGCGUAUUGCUGGCUCUUAUUUUAGCAUUUCCAUUUAUCCGUUACUGUACAAUAUGGAACAGGCAAUCACGUGCUGUUGAACGGCAGAGAGCAGCCUUUUUGCGUGUUGCCAUCGUUGUGCUUAUCUAGACAGAAUAAGGGUGUCGACAUCGGUCACCCCUGGUGUUGCUUGCUUCUGUUGCCUGUUGUGCAGUGGUAGUGGCGCCAAUGCCAGGGGGCGGCCUUCCCCUGCUGGCGAGCGCAAUUUCCUGUCGAGAAGAAAAGGGGUGCUUGGUUGCCCGUAUAGUUAGUUGUUGGCGGCGUAUGAUGUCAUUACAUAGUUGCGCGGUGUCAACAGCUGCUGGCGAGGAGCCGUGUCAAGGGUCCUUUGCAUGGCAAAUGGUAGCACCGACCUCGUUUGCGUAUGCGUCUCGUUGGGGAGCCCCGUGAACGUACGUAGGUCGCACAACUGUAGGAAUGAGUGUCUUUCAUGAGGUUGUGCAUUGCCUCCUGACACCCAGCUAUCGCUCGGAAAUCUGAUAU